UAUAUUUAUAUUUGAAACCCUUCAGAAUAAACUUUUAACAAAUAAGUAAACCCAAGCCACUCCAAUAUUUUCCCAGUAUAUUCUCCCAAAGAAGGCUCUUCAGUGUUAGAAUGGUUGUUCCCUCACAAGUAGUACACAGGUUGAGACCAGAGAAAGAAUUCCAAGUGGAGGGUAAAACCCCAGGCCAUCAUGGGGGGCCAAACCCUCUUUCAAAUGGAGUGCUAUUUACUUAAGGGGUGAGGGGCUCUGUCUUGUGUGUCUUAAACCAGACUGUUCCCUGUUGGGUGGAAGCAACAUAUUACACCUGGACAGCUCCCUUCCCCAACCUAGGUUAAGAAAUGGGAUUUGUAAAGACUAGUAGGUUGGAUCCAAGGCAGAGGGAGGAGGUAAAAUUAGAUGUCUCUUUUUGUGAGGCUUGGAUGAGGUUGAGGUCUGAGAUCAGAGGUCAAGGAUGGGGCUGGAGGGAUGGGCGUGUCACUAAGGUGAGUGUGCUGUGCCAAGACCUAAGAGGCUUCGGGAGCUGACCUUCCUGGCCUUCAUGCCUUUCUCCUUGGUGCCAGUUCUCUGGGAUGGAGACAGAGCUCCUACCCAUCUCCCCCUCAACCCCCCUGCCCAUCUCCCUCCCACACCAUUCUCCUCUCUUCUCUGUCCAGUUCUCUGAUCCAUUUCCAUUCUCUCCUUCCUCAAGCCCCUUCCUCAUCUCCAUUUGCCAUUCCCUGUCCUCCGCCCUGCCAGACACCCCAGUUCAGGGUCCAGGAGAAGGACAGCUUUUAUGUGGCUUGUAAAAUUCUAUUAUAUCUGUAUUCAAAACCUAGCAGCUGAGAAACACUGGUAAUAAGCGUGUUAUUAAGCGUGUAAAUACACUUCCACUCCAAGGCCUCUAAGGGGCAAGGGCUGGAUUCUCAGGCUGGGCAUCUCCCCUGCUUGUAAGUCCCUCCCCACCUGGCCUCCACCCCAGACUUGGACCUUGUGCCAAGGCCCAGGUCUCCUCCAGUCUCCAACCACCACCGUCCUGCAAAACCCAGACUCUUGGAGAAAGGGGGCGGGGGAAGGGGCCGAAGAAAAAAAACAUUAGGAAAAAAACUCCCACCCAGAGAGCAUUCUUUCUGCAGCACUCAGGAAAAAGGAUGUCUCACAGGGGACGGGAAGGCGAAAUUUUUUCACAUCCAAAUGGAUUGCAAUUUCCCUCCAUUUAGCACCUGAAGGUAAUUAGCUCGAAGAGACUGCCGAGUGCGAAACACGUUCACGGAACAUUAACUCUCACACAUUCUCCAGUUGCAGGGAAUUAAUAGGAAAGAUUAAAGUUUAAAGAGAGCAAAAUGCCAUUACCUCGCCAGCCACCUCUCUCCGCGGCAGUCUCCAGCCCCCGAAAACCUUCGGCCAGUGCUUGGGCCGGGGCUCGGGUCUCAGCCUCCAGCCUGGCUGGCUGGGGCAUCUGGGUGUGCCUCACCAAGAAGGCUAGCAUGUGCUAAUGUGCACGCACGUGUGCAAAACAGGGCAGCUCUGCAAGGCCAGUGCAGCCCCCCUCCCAUCCCCGAGAAGUUUGGGGUGGACAGGGCAGGUGUGUUCUCAUAGGCUGACUCCUGGCAUUGGUGUGUAUGGUGGCCCUGGGCGGGAGUGGAUGGGGGAGAUACUAGGAAGUGUUAUUAGCUUGGGCGUGCCCUGUGAUUUCGGUGCAGAGGGCAAGAUCUGGCAGCUUGGCCGGCAAUAGAGAAAUGGGGGGUGUCAGUCCCACCUUGGGUGUGUAGAGAGGCACUGGGUGAAGUGAUGGAGGGAGUUGCUUCCACUCUUGUGAGGCAGGCAGGAGCCACAAACAUACGUGUGCAUGCAUACGCAGGCUCCCACGACCACACACAGACGGCCUUUGUCACUCUGCUUUUUUCAAAGUUUAUGUAGGCUUCAAAUUGGAAAGGUUUCUGUGUUGCUUCAGUAUUUUAGGAAAAGAUGAAAGACAGAGAGAGGGAGACAGAGAGAGAGUGGGGGAGAGAGAGAGUGAGGGAGAGAGAGAGAGGGGCAGAGGCAGGCAGGAGAGAGAGAGCGCGAGAUGAAAUUGAGACAUGGAAGAAUUUAUUGCCCAGAAAAUUCCAUUCUGCUAUCUGAUUCAAAAAGUCCAGUCCCCCCAGCUUCGGAAAAUCUAUUUUCCACAUUUUAAUACCCUGCAGAACAGUCCUCAUAACUCAUCCGAGUGUGUUAAGCACAGUUUUAUUAGAUCUGAAACAAAUUUUGGUGGGGAGAUACUAUAGGUCAUUAACCAUGGAGUAAUUUUAUCCUUGUUUCCCUAAUGAUGCCAUAAUGGCGAGCGAAUUUCUUAACUAAAGACCAAAGAACAUUUUGAAGGUCAGUUUCAUCUGUGAGCUCCUUCAAGCGCUUCUCAGAGAAGAUUGGAAAACUCGCCGAUUUUUUGAAGAGUCAUUAAUAAUGUGAAAGCUGAAAGCACCCUCCAUUUGCGUUCCUGCUUUUUACCUUUUAAUUUUAUAUCGUCCCCGCUCAGAGCCCCGCUCCCACUCCCUCACCCUCCUCUGGACCUCCCGCCUGCCUACCCACCCCACGCAGGGAACAAGGCUGCCCCAUACCAGGUACCAGGCUAGCUGUGAGGGGCAGACAGGGGCUGCAGGAGGGGAGGCAGAAGAGCUAGAGAGGCCAGGGCCCCAAAGAGAUGGGGGCCUUUGCUAAAUUCCCAGAAUGUGGUGUACUGUGUGAGGGUAUUGUUAUAGGCAUGGUACACGUGUGCGUGUGUGCAUGUGUGCAAAUGUGCAGUGCAGGGGACUGGGGUCUCUGGAUUGCAUGCUGGCUGUGCACACACAUGCUAGGGACCAAUGGGGACUUAGUAGUCUCUAUAGGUGGGUGCCCUCUGUUGGACGCAGGUGGGGAAAGAGAACUGGAAACCAGCACUGGGUCCAGUGGCUUGGGCAGUGGGUCAGCUGGGGGACUUGAGGUAUCUCCCAACAGAGAUGGACAACACGUGCAAGGCAUGAAACAAUUGAUAGCGCAUUGUGAGCCCUGAUUACAAUGUGUGCACAUGAGCGUAUAUGUCCUGGGGGUGGUGAGGUCAUCAAGGCAAAAGCCCCAAGGGCCCUCUCUACUGGCAAAUAUUUAGACACUUGAAACAGUGACCAUUGUCUGCCCAUCCCUCACUCCUUGGACCACUCACUCCUUGCUCCCCAGGCCUGGAGCCCUUCAUUUGCCCACUUUACUCCCUCCUAAUCUCCAGUCUCUGGCUCCUUGGACACCCCCCCCCCUUGCCUCCCAGUUCCACCCCUUCCCCUGAACACUCCUCCCCCCAGCUCCUCACCUAUCUGAUGGCUAUCAUUGCAGGGUGCCCAGCCAGGAGCCGGAGUGGGACAGCAUCUCUGUGUGUGUGCAGGUUUGGGGAGGAGGGGGCGGUGUGGUGACACUCCAUGCUCCCAGAUGUGGUGGCAGCGAUAAUUCCAAUUUUAUGCCUUUGUUAUGGCUUUAAUCACUUUCUUUAUGCGUUUUGUUCCAGCGAUCAGGGAGAGACACCUGAUAGGCAAAGAGGAUACCAGGGGAACCAUUUUUAUUUGGAAUGUGGUGAGAAGUCUAAUUAGAAUCUGAAUUCUGCUGAGCCUUGAAAUGGCCAGCACUUUAUCCUGAUCGCCUUAGAUAUUGUUUCGAGUCAAUCAUCUGUCAUGGUGCGGCAGGAGAGCCUCUCCCUUCACACCGCACCCCUCCCGCCACGGGGCCAGCCCAGGCACACUGGGGGAGGGGAGGCUCAGGCUUCCACCCUCGUAGGGAUCUGUGCCUCCUUCUGGGGAGGGGGCGCUGUUUGGUAUAGCCAACCCUCCAUUGGUGAGGGCUGUCUUUGCUGGGUGCUGAGUUUCAGCUCAUGGGGGUGGAGAGAGGGGCUGCAGGAAGAGGGGCCUGAGAGGCCUGUAUUAGAAUUAGGAAAUAUUGAGGUGAGGCCAAGCUAGUCUGGGGCACCUCCUAAAUGCUCUCAGUACACUGGCCACCCCACCUCCUAUCAACGGCUCACAGCGACUCUCCUCUCUUUACUGUCCCCUGGACAUAUUGUAUGUAUCUCUGCCACCUGCUCACUGUCCCUCAAACUCACUGCUCCCAUUGCCAACCCCUCCCUGACCAACACUUGCCACACGUUCAGCUCCUGGUCUCCGACUUUCCUCCCUCCAGUCCUGCCGCUGGACCACCAAUCCGGCUUGUUCUGCCAUCUGUCGAGUCCCUGGACUGGUUCCACCUCCUCCAGAAAGCCUUCCCUGACUACCUGAACCCACAAGGUGAGCUCCUCGAGAGGUGGACAAUUACAACACAGGCCCCCACCUGGCAAUGGCCGCGCUGACUGCCGACACUCCUCCCACAAGACCCUGCUCCAUUUAUCUUUCUCCUGCCUUCAGAUGAUUUCCAGUUGCCUCUCUCUUUUUCUAAACUGUUUUGGUGUGUGUGUGUGUGUCCUAAAUCUGCUCAAACCCUUUUUGAGCAUAGCAAAAUGUAAAGUAGAAAUAAAUAUUACUCUGAAUGAUAAUUUCACCUCCCCAAUCACCUCUUGUGCUCCCAAAGUCUGACCAUUUCUUCUCUGUAUCCUGCCUUUUCCACUAACUAUAAGCACACAGGACCAGGCACAGAGUGGGGAGCUGUGCAUUGCCUCCAGAAGUCAGAGAUUCACGGAAGCUUUCUGCUUCCUGCUUCCCCUCAUACAUAACCCCCAAUACAUACCUACUAUGUGACAGAUGUAGGCAUAGUUGGGGGACUAUUAGUAGCCAAAGGAAGUGCCAUUUCUGGCAGGAAAGAGGAGCAUGUGCUCUAUGAAUAAUGUUUCCAUGGGAGAUGGCCAAUGUGGGUCCUUUUUAGAUGGUUGGGGCACUCAGUGGCCCUCUAGCCACUUAGUGUGCCCCAUAAAGCAGAAUGUCCUCAUUGAUGUCAGUAUCACUGGGCCUCCUGGAUGGUCACUGCCCUCUCGAGAUUAUGUAGCCAGGGUACCUUAUGUAUGGUCCAAGGGGCAGUGUGACCAGAUGCUGCCAUAGAAAAAU